rnacentral:rRNA from 1 species
UACGGAAGGCAGCAGUGGGGAAUAUUGCACAAUGGGCGCAAGCCUGAUGCAGCCAUGCCGCGUGUAUGAAGAAGGCCUUCGGGUUGUAAAGUACUUUCAGUCGUGAGGAAGGUGUUAAGGUUAAUAACCUUAGCAAUUGACGUUAGCGACAGAAGAAGCACCGGCUAACUCCGUGCCAGCAGCCGCGGUAAUACGGAGGGUGCGAGCGUUAAUCGGAAUUACUGGGCGUAAAGGGCACGCAGGCGGUUAAUUAAGUUGGAUGUGAAAUCCCCGGGCUUAACCUGGGAAUGGCAUUCAAGACUGGUUAGCUAGAGUCUUGUAGAGGGGGUAGAAUUCCAUGUGUAGCGGUGAAAUGCGUAGAGAUGUGGAGGAAUACCGGUGGCGAAGGCGGCCCCUGGACAAGCUGACGCUCAUGUGCGAAAGCGU